rnacentral:lncRNA from 1 species
UCUCACCCAAGCGCCCAUCGGAACCCAUCGCUGCGGGGCGCGCCCAGAGGGGGCGGGGCUUUAUACCCCGGAGGGGGCGUGGCUAAAGGAAGUGGGCGUGGCUUGAGCGGGAAAAAAAUGGGGGCGUGGCCGAGGUGAACCGCAAAUCCCGCUCUGCCCUGACCACGCCCCUUUUCUGGUGUGUGGUUACGGAGGGGGGGCGUGGCUUAAGGAAAGAAAGGGGCGUGGUUUAAGCGUAGCCACGCCUCCUGUGGACCCCCCACCCCUUUUUAAAGCCCCGGACGGAGGGGACGCGCUCAGUUCUGGUGGCGCCUUUAUGGGUGCCGCUGCUCCGCGCCGGGUCGCCACCACGGUGGCCAUGGAGGUCCCUUUGGUGGCCAUGGGGGUCUUCAUGGUGGUCCUGGGGAUCCCCAUUGGUGGCCAUGGGGGUCUUCAUGGUGGUCCUGGGGGUCCCCCUGGUUGCCCUGCUGUCACUUGGUGGCCAUGGGGGUCUUCAUGGUGGUCCUGGAGGUCCCAUUGGUGGCCAUGGUGGGUCCCACUGGUGGCCCUGCUGUCACUUGGUGGUCCUGGGGGUCCCACUGGUGGCCAUGGGGGUCCCUCUUGUGGCCAUGGUGGUUCCCAUUGGUGGCCAUGGGGGUCUUCAUGGUGGUCCUGGGGGUCCCACUGGUGGCCAUGGGGGUCUUCAGGGUGGCCAUGAGGGUCCCACUAGUGGCCCUGCUGUCACUUGGAGGCCCUGGGGGUCCCCAAGGUGGCCCUUGGGGUCCUUUUAGUGGCCAUGGGGGUCUUCAUGGUGGUCCUGGGGGUCCCACUGGUGGCCAUGGUGGUUCCCAUUGGUGGUCCUGGGGGUUCCCAUUGGUGGCCAUGGGGGUCUUCAGGGUGGCCAUAGGGGUCCCACUAGUGGCCCUGCUGUCACUUGGUGGCCCUGGGGGUCCCCAAGGUGGCCAUGCGGGUCCCAUUGGUGGCCCUGGGGGUCCCAUAGAUGGCCAUGAGGGUCCCACUGGUGGCCAUGGUGGUUCCCAUUGGUGGCCAUGGGGGUCCUCAUGGUGGUCCUGGGGGUCCCCAAGGUGGCCCUGCUGUCACUUGGUGGUCCUGGGGGUCCCACUGAUGGCCAUGGGGGGUCCCUCUUGUGGCCAUGGUGGUUCCCAUUGGUGGCCAGGGGGUCUUCAUGGUGGUCCUGGGGGUCCCACUGGUGGCCAUGGGGGUCUUCAGGGUGGUCCUGGGGGUCCCACUAGUGGCCCUGCUGUCACUUGGAGGCCCUGGGGGUCCCCAAGGUGGCCCUGGGGGUUCCCAAAGUGGCCAUGGGGGUCCCAUUGGUGGCCCUCCUGUCACCUUGGUGGCCAUGAGGGUCCCACUGGUGGUCCUGGGGGUCCCACUGGUGGCCAUGGGGGUCCCCAUUGGUAGCCAUGGGGGUCCCCAUUGGUGGCCAUGGGGGUCCCAUUGGUGGCCCUAGGGGUCCUACUGGUAGCCAUGCAGGUCCCCAAGGUGGCCAUGGGGGUCUUCAUGGUGGUCCUGGGGGUCCCACUGGUGGCCAUGGUGGUUCCCAUUGGUGGCCCUGAGGGUCCCACUGGUGGCCAUGGGAGUCCAUUGGUGGCCAUGCAGGUCCCCAAGGUGGCCCUGGGUGUCCCAUUGGUGGCCAUGGGGGUCCUCAUGG